UCACCUGGUCAGAGUUCUGGUCCUCCAUCCCAUCCACUCAGAGAUGGGCUCAGUGGGGCCAGAAACCCAGAUUUCAGUUUUGUGAUUGUGUUUUUGGCCGCCCAGGAAAUUCUGGCACUGCUGGUUCUUCGACAGUAGAAACCCUUCUCUUGGAGCCAGGAGCGAUGGAAGCUGGAACCCCCAGAAAGUCCAUAACACGGCUGCUUCUGCAGGAGCUCUUUUUCUCCUGGCCCUGCCGGGGACAUGCCCUGGAGGACUUGGGCAGGCAGGUCACACGGGGGCCCCAGUCCCCCUCCUCGGUCCGGGGACAGUCUGACGGCCCAUCGUUCAUCUCACCUCAUCCCGUGUCAUCCCAUUUCAUUUCAGGCAGGAGCCGGCCAGCCUGAACCCUGCUUCCCCAGCCGUGAAGUGGAGACAGUAAUACCUGCUCGGAUGACCCCAGCGCACCACUGCAGGAGUGUUCAAUGACAAAGGACUGAUGCGAAGACUCACCAAUGAAGGAUGAAGCCACCCUCUGCAGGCGGCUGCUCUGCAGUGCUGGGAUGACCUGUUUUUCAGGACUCCUACUGCUGUAUUCACAUGAAACACAAGAUGUGAUGUCUGCAGGGGCUGCCUUGAAUCUUCCCUCUGUUAGUUUCCCUUAGGGAGGUGCAAGAAAAGGAGACCAUCAUCUACUGGGCCCCUAUCAGCACGUGGGCCCUGACCUAGGCACCCACCCACCAGCUAACGAUGGACUUUGACCUCAGAUCUGGGCUGCCUGUCACGACUGCACCUGGUCUGGGUGGCCUCAAAAGCUGGACUCACCUCAAAAAAGCUGCCUGGAGCACCUACACUUGGCCUUUGUGUGGCCUGGGCUUCCUCAUAGUAUGGAGCCUUGGGUGGCUUGCCAUCUUGAUGGAAGCUCAGGGCACCUCGAGGGAGCAGAACCAGGGGGAAGGUGCAUGACCUUCUAGGGCCUCACCAUGGAAGGCACAUGGCAUCACUUAACUGGAUGGAAGUCACCUGUCCAAUCAGAUUCAGGAGACGUGGGCCCCUCCUCUAGAGGGAAGACACUUCAAAGGAUUUGUGGCCAUGUUUUUAAAGCUGCUUCACCUUCCUUUUCCAUAUGUUAAAUUUCCAUUUGCAAUGGGUCUAUUUCUGGACACUAAUAUAUUCUACUAGUCUAUUUGUCUAUUAUGCACAUAUAUCCCCAGUGCUUUAAUUACUAUACAUUAUUAUGUUUUGUUUUAUCAUUUGUUAUUGUUUUCCAGUAGUCAUGUAUGGAUGUGAGAGUUGGACUAUAAAGAAAGCUGAGCACUGAAGAAUUGAUGCUUUUGAACU